rnacentral:tRNA from 1 species
GGGGUGUUGGCGAAGUUGGUAUCGCGCUACAUUCGCAUUGUAGAGGCCAGGAGUUCGAAUCUCCUACACUCCACCA